UUUCAACGGAGGCUUUUCAAAUGUGCUCAUAGUUUUUUGAUGAUUUGGAAUUGGAUGAUAAUAAAUCUACGUGCACUGCUGGUUGGCAUUCCUUUUCGAACUGGAAGCGGUUGUCGACGGUCGUGUUCUACAGUGCUACAGCUGCAGUAGCUACGUUCACCCGCUGCUGCCCGUUUUUCGGUUCUGCGAUGGCUGCUGGCUGUUCCCCUUCUUCACUGGUAUCAGAAUCGAUGGCAUGUGAAUACAGAUAAACGAUCGGAUUCGCUGACUUUUUGGUACAACAAAUCAAAGAUCGUUUCAAGCAAUAAUUAUGACGCAGACGUGAUUCUCGGACCUUCGAAACGAAAUUGAUGGCAUUUAUGCUGGCGUUAAAUCAAAUGAUGAAACAAGAAAAAACUUGACUGUGGAGAAAAGGACUAAAGUUAUAUAAUAUAGAUUAGCUGUUGUCCGUAAAUUGUAUUUUGUUAAUUUGUUGUAAGAGUAAGAUUCCUUUCUGAUGCACGAAACUUUGGCUGUUUUUUAUCUUUCUAUUUUUUAACUGCUUUGUUCCUGCAGUGUUUCAAAAGCUAAUUGUGACGAAGAUAUGAUAUGUGGACCUCAAAUGUAUAGAACUGCAUAAUAACUCUAUAACUCUUUGGAGUUUAGAAGAGAAGUCAUUAAUUCUUUUAUGAAUCAACAUAAUUAUUUAGGAAUUUUGAUUCUUAAGAAAUUUUUAGAUGGUAUAUAUCUAAACGAGCACCAUGGACAAAUAACGGCUAACAGGAAUUUAUUGUUGGAAAACUUUAAUGUUUGAUUCAAAAUAAACAGAGGAAGUUUGAAGGUGGCCCAAAAUUAUAUCUUAAAACAGCAUCACAAGUGAACAA